CGGAGGGACAUGAGAGACAAGGGGGACAUUGGACCCCCCUCAAAAAGUCUCUAUAAACCCUUGAAAAAAUUUAAAAACAAAAAUAAUCCCUACUUAAUUUGUCCUUAUCUAUAUAAAGUGGGACCCAAGCAAAAUUGCUUUUCAAUAUCAAAUACAUAAUUCUAAAACUCAUUUUCCUAUUUUAUAGCUUAUUUGUUUUAAGUGGGGUCCAAGCAAUCACUCUUUUACUUUUUUUCAAACAAUAAAAAGUCCUUCUCCUAUUUGUAUUAUAUUACUAUCCCUCUCUAUAUAAAUAUACAUCUUUCUUAUUUACUCAUCAUCAUAAUUUAUUUUUGCUAUUCAAUUUCAACGAUUUAGUAAUUAUUAUUGAAGUUUAAAUUACAUCUACAACUUCCACUUCCAGCGGACAAUUUCGAAUCUUUCCCAGAUAUGGAGCGAUAUUUUAAAAAAAUAGCAACUGCUGUUAAGCAAACAAUUUCAUCAAGCAAUCAACCUGAGCAAUCAAAUGUUGAAGUUGAAUCAAACGACCAACCUACUAUUCGUGUUUCACCAAUACAAAUUGAUAUGAAUAUUGAUUUAGAUAAUCUUCCUAGUGAUCCUGGAUUACGACCUAAUAUAAUGACUUAUCCAUCUGACGUGAGAAAUCAAGUUCGUAGAGCAUAUUUAUUAAAAGGACCGUGUCAACCACGACAACAUAUUUUCCUCAAAAGACGGAUGGAAAUCGAAAACGUAAAUUUAUUGUUACUUGGUUUGAUGAAUUCAGGCCUUGGUUGGAAUAUAGUAUCGCAAAAGAUGCUGCGUUUUGUUUAUAUUGCUAUCUUUUUUCAGCUGGCCGCAGUGAAAGGGGUCAUGAUGCCUUUGUAACUGAAGGUUUCAGUUCCUGGCGCAAGAAAGAAAGGUUGUGAGAUCAUGUUGGAGAUCAUGAGAGUGAUCACAAUAAAUGUAGGUUGACUUGUCAAAAUUUAAUGAAUCAAGCUCAGCACAUUGAGGUAUCUUUUUCUAAACAAUCUGAACAGACAAAGAUUGAUUAUCGUUGUAGAUUGAAUGCCUCGAUUAUUUGUUUGCGCUAUCUUAUGAUGCAAGGAUUGGCUUUUCGAGGAAAUGAUGAAACAUAAACCUCAUUAAAUCAA